rnacentral:rRNA from 1 species
AUUGAACGCUGGCGGCAGGCCUAACACAUGCAAGUCGAACGGCAGCACGGUAGCUGCCUCCUGUUGGCGAGUGGCGAACGGGUGCGGGAUAGAUCUGAACAGGACUUUACUUUGUGGAUAGCCCUACGAAAGGCGGACUAAUACCAAAUACGCACUACGGCUGAGAGCGAGGGACGGUCGGCCUUCGCCCUAUCGCGUUUGCCGAUGGCGGAUUCGCUAUUUGGGGGGGUAAAGGCCUACCAAGGCGACGAUCCGGAACUGGUCUGAGAGGACGACCAGCCACACUGGAACUGAGACACGGCCCAGACUCCUACGGGAGGCAGCAGUGGGGAAUUUUGGACAAUGGGCGAAAGCCUGAUCCAGCAAUGCCGCGUGUGUGAAGAAGGCCUUCGGGUUGUAAAGCACUUUUGUUGGGAAAGAAAUGCUUGGCCCUAAUACGGUGGUGGUCUGACGGUACCGAAAGAAUAAGCACCGGCUAACUACGUG